AACGAACGCUGGCGGCAGGCCUAACACAUGCAAGUCGAACGCUCCGCAAGGGGAGUGGCGCACGGGUGAGUAACACGUGGGAACCUACCUUCUGGUACGGAACAACCAAGGGAAACUCUGGCUGAUACCGUAUACGACCUCCGGGUGAAAGAUUGAUCGCCGGAAGAGGGGCCCGCGUCCGAUUAGGUAGUUGGUGAGGUAACGGCUCACCAAGCCUGCGAUCGGUAGCUGGUCUGAGAGGAUGACCAGCCACACUGGGACUGAGACACGGCCCAGACUCCUACGGGAGGCAGCAGUGGGGAAUAUUGGACAAUGGGCGCAAGCCUGAUCCAGCCAUGCCGCGUGAGUGAU
rnacentral:rRNA from 1 species